rnacentral:pre_miRNA from 1 species
UUCUCACCUGGAGUAUUUAUGAAAGGACAGAUUGGUCUCCAUCUGACCAAAAUUCAGCAUUUCUAGCAAGUUCCCAGGUGAUCCUGAU